UUGAGAGUUUGAUCCUGGCUCAGGACGAACGCUGGCGGCGUGCCUAAUACAUGCAAGUCGUACGCUUCUUUUUCCACCGNGAGCUUGCUCCACCGGAAAAAGAGGAGUGGCGAACGGGUGAGUAACACGUGGGUAACCUGCCCAUCAGAAGGGGAUAACACUUGGAAACAGGUGCUAAUACCGUAUAACAAUCGAAACCGCAUGGUUUUGAUUUGAAAGGCGCUUUCGGGUGUCGCUGAUGGAUGGACCCGCGGUGCAUUAGCUAGUUGGUGAGGUAACGGCUCACCAAGGCCACGAUGCAUAGCCGACCUGAGAGGGUGAUCGGCCACAUUGGGACUGAGACACGGCCCAAACUCCUACGGGAGGCAGCAGUAGGGAAUCUUCGGCAAUGGACGAAAGUCUGACCGAGCAACGCCGCGUGAGUGAAGAAGGUUUUCGGAUCGUAAAACUCUGUUGUUAGAGAAGAACAAGGAUGAGAGUAACUGUUCAUCCCUUGACGGUAUCUAACCAGAAAGCCACGGCUAACUACGUGCCAGCAGCCGCGGUAA
rnacentral:rRNA from 1 species